GGGGGUGUGGCUCAUUGUUAGAGUGCUUGCCUAGCAUGCAUGAGGUUCUGGGUUCAAUCCCACUCCCC
rnacentral:tRNA from 1 species